GCAUACUAUCUUCUUCGCUUCCGUGAAAUUCGUUGGGGGAAAAGAGCGGUUGCUUCCAAAUCGAUCGCCCUGUUUCCUCUGAUUCUCCAUCGACUCGUCUAACCGCAUCAGCACUAGAGGAAACUAUUGGGAUUUCUCGAAAUUUUGUUGCAUGUGUCUGUACAUAUUUUGAUAAUUCUGUUAGAAAUGUCGGAUGCUAGUAUGUUACUCCACGAACGUACUAUUUCGAAAAUUUCAUUCUACUCUGUUAGACCGUCUAGUUUGUCAGGUAAACAUGAUACUUAUUUAUCAGGCAGGCUAUCAAAACAUAUUUUCAUGCUAGUUACAGUUUUACUGAUACUAGAGGUUACUGGGUAAAGUUCUUCGCUCAAAUAUUGUGAAGGUCAACAGCGAAGAAAGUAAAUGAAUAAACAUCAGGAAUAUAGUGCUUUUUAGGCAAGUGCUGCUUUUAACCCAAUUUUUUCAGAGUAUGCCGUGGUAACUGACUUUUGCACAUUUUCCUUUAAAGUACUGUAUGAAAUAGUUAGUUUAUUCAACUUUUUCUUCCUGACAUUUCCCUUGAACUCAAAGCCACAGGACCCACAAGCAGUGUAAACAUACAAAUUAGAGUAAAACUGCUGAAUGUACUUACAGAUGAAAAUUAUGAUGGAUUUUAUUCGAACAAAGGAAUUACAGAUAUUUCAUUUAUUCGCUCAUGUAGUCCUAAAAAUGUUUCUUUGAUUGACAUGACUUCAGUAUAAACUUCUUGCAUAGUUGGUCGGUCUUUUGGUGAAUCCACAGAGCAUUUCAGACCUAGUUUCACCAGUUGCAUUGUACAUUCUUGCACGCCGACCAUUACAUGUGUCCCAUUGCCUGAAGGUUUACUUGUGUGUUCGUCCUGGUAUUGUGGAAUAAAAUUGGGCUCUAGAAUAUCACCAAUCUUGUGAGGAAAUGCCAGUUCCACAAACUUGUGGAGACCAUGUCCAUCCUUAAACAUCUCAUCUGUUGGGUUCUUUCCCAUCAGCAUUUCUAGCAGAAUAAUUCCAUAGCUGUAGACAUCCCCCUCAGUAGACAUGUUGCUACCCAUGCCAUACUCUGCAAAAUUUGCAAAUAUGUCCUGUGAAAUCCUUUCAACUGCUUAAUCAUUAGGUAAUAUUUAUUUUUGAAAUGACUGUAUUUGUUUUUUUACUGAAAGCAUAUGCAUUGGACACUUAAUUUAGGUACAUAAUUCUGGUGCUCCAGUACAUCAUUUUUUUGAUAAAGGUAAACAUGGUUUCCUUUUAGAAAUAAUGGGCAGGGGGUAAACAUGAUUUUUCAAGGAAGUACAACUUAAUUUGAAUAUAUUGACAAUAAAAGAAUGAAAUGUCUACUAACCUGGUGCAAUGUAUCCAAUUGAUCCUCUUGCCCCUAUCAAGCUUUUGGAUGGAUGGUCAUAAAGAAACUUUGCUAAUCCAAAGUCACCAACACGAGCACACAUGUCAUCGUCCAAAAGGACAUUGCUUGGCUUUAGAUCACAAUGGAUCAAAGGAGGCAUGCAUCUGUUAUGGAGAUAGUCCAAGGCAGCAGCUAUAUCCGUCGCAAUUCUUAUCCUUAACCCAAGAUUCAGUGGCCUUUUUGAGCCAUGAUUUUCUGUUACUGGAUGAAGCCAACUUUCUAGGCUACCAUUUGACAUGUGCUCAAGAACUAGAGCUUUGAACUCAUUUCCUGAUGGAUCAAAUGUAGAACACAUGCUUAUCGCCCUUACGAGAUUUCGAUGGCGUGUGUUUUUCAGGGCCUCACACUCAGCAAUGAAACUUUUUGAUGCUCCAUCUUGAUCAAGCCUGAACACCUUGACUGCAGCUAUGCGGGGUUCAGCCAAGAAUGUACCUCUAUAGACAGAUCCACACCCUCGCUCUCCAACCAGGUUAAUAGAAGAGAAACCACCUGUUGCCUUGUAUAGAUCAUGAUAUGAAAAUCUUUUCCACCCCUCGGACUGCUGGUUGAUUGGUUGUUUAGUUGCUUCCCGCUUUCUGUGUACAAUGGCUAUGGCACAUAUGAGUGAGACUAGAACAAUGGUAACAAUAGGGACCACCACCAUUAGAACAUAUGAACUCCUUUUUCUUUUGAAUGUGGACUUAAUACAAGGUUGUAGUUGCAGCAUUUGAGAAUUUGUGCACAGAUUUUUGUUUCCUUGGAUGAGCACCAGACUUGAAUUGCCAAACACACCAGUUGUAGGUACUGGCCCUUGAAAGUUGUUGAAGGACAGAUUCAGAAGCUGCAAAGAGCUGAAUGACUCGAAGAAGCUUGGAAUUUCACCAGACAAGCUGUUCUGCGACAGAUCCAUCUCAACAACGCCUCGCAGGUUCAUAAAAGAUCCAGGAAUGCCACCUUCAAGAUAAUUUGCAUCCAAACGAAGCGACUCCAAGUGAAGGCACUGGCCGAGACUGUUGGGAAUUUUUCCAGAUAGCUGGUUGUUGGAGAUUAACGAGCUCAAGAUUAUUUAAGCUGCUAACUUCUGAUGGUAUCAGUCCAGUUAGUUGGUUAUAUGACAAGUCUAAGCCUUCAGAAAGUGAGGAAAUAGAAAACAGUUUUGGAGGGAUGCUUCCAUGAAAGGUAUUACAAGAAAGGUUUAGUCUAGUCAGGCUUCUGCAUCCUGCUAAACUGGCAGGUAUCGACCCACUUAAUAUGUUCUUCUCCAGAUAAAGUUCACUUAGCUUCUCAAGGUUUCCAAUUGAUCGUGGACUUCUCCAGAAAAUUUGUUUUCUGCUAAAUUCAGGACAAACAGAGUCUGAAUAUUUCCAAGUGUAGCAGGAAUAUUCCCUGAGAGGAAAUUUCUCUCCAUAUGAAUAAGAGUGAGACUGCUGAGAUUUCCUAUAUCUGGAUGUAUGAAACCAGUUAUUUGGUUAUCAUUCAGAAGCAACCACUGUAAGUUUUUCGGAAGAUUGCCAAUGGAAGUAGGUAACUCUCCUUGAAGAUUAUUCCUAUCCAAGUAUAACUUUUGCAACUGGGUGCAACUUGUUAGUGAGGACAAGAAAGUCCAGUCACCAGCUUCAAGCAGAUUGUCACCCAGAUCUAGAGUGACCAAGUUUGUCAAAGACCCCAGAGAAGGAAUGAUACCACUGAAUGCGUUAUUGCGGAGGCCAAGGUAUUUUAGGUCAGAGGCAUUUGCCAAAGAAGCAGGUACUGGGCCAUCAAACUGGUUACCUUGCAUUACCAACAUCUGAAUUCUCAGAAGUGUAUAGCCAAUGUUGGUUGGAAUUCUCCCAGAUAGCUGGUUGGCUCCAAGGCCAAGAUAAGUUAGAGAUGGGAUUGCAUAUAUAGUUGGAGGAACUGUGCCUGACAAGUUGUUAUAUGUCAUGUCUAAUACUUGCAAACCUGCAAGGCUACCUAAGCUCUCUGGAAUGCUCUCUUGUAAGUUGUUCAGAGCAAGCAAUAGGAAGGAUAGGGAGGAAAAGUUCCCUAAUGAGCUAGGUAUGCUCCCUGAAAGGUUAUUGCUAGUCAAGCUAAGAUAUUUCAAGGGAGAGGAUGCAUGAGCGAAGGACGGGAUUGACCCGGAAAAACCAUUGUAAGAGAGAUUUAAGGUGUAAAGCAAUGAGCUAUUGAAUAGUGCAGGAGGGAUCUCUCCACGGAGCUUGUUUGAUGCAAGGUUGAGGUAAGCAAGCGAGGAGGAAUUCACUAGGAAGCGUGGAAUUUCUCCUGUGAACGCAUUGUUGUCGAGAGCAAGCUUGGUAAGACGCGAGUUGCCUCCUAGGAACCGAGGAAUGGUGCCUGAAAGCUUGUUCCUAGCAAAGGAUAAUAUAGAAAGGUUCGGAAGCAAGGCAAACCCGGGUGGUAUGUGCCCCUGAAGAAAGUUGUCACUGAGGACAAGCUGUUCGAGGGAUGAACUUUGAGCAAGAGCUGAAGGGAUCUCACCUUCCAGGAGGUUGCUUGACAGGCUUAUGAUCUCCAGGCGGGAACACAUUGACAGUGCAUCGGGGAUCAUGCCGCCUAUGGAGUUGAUGCUGAGGUUUAGUUGUCUGAGUUGUGCCAGGCGGCCUAUCUCCGGGGGAAUGCUGCCACUGAUCUUAUUGUCAGGCAUGUUUAUCCUGGUCAAGAAACUGAGGUUGCUAAUGCAAGGAGGAAUCUGACCGGUAAGGUUCAGCGACAUGAGGUCUAGCGCAACAACACGAGGUGCUGCGCUCUGCACGGUGCUGCAUGUCACACCGCGCCAUUGACAGAAGCUCUGGGAGUCGUGUCGCCAUGUUGCCAGCGCUCCAGUGGUGAGGUUGCUGGCAAGGCCAGACUUGAGGCAGAGGAGCGUCUGUUGGUCGGCGUCAGAGUUGUUCCAAGAUGGAGCUGCGGCAUCGAGGGCACUGGCGGAGGGCUCCGGUGGGCAGGGUAUGGCAUCCGCCAUACCUUGAUUCUGGGGCAAUUUUUUUUUAUACCUAUGCAUCUAUCGAUCGGCAGACUCUGGAUCGGCAUCGGCUGUUUCGUUCGACCGCAGCCAGCAGCGCUGGCCUGAUGGGCCGACGCAUCCAGCUGUUGGGCCACGCAGGCAGGCACGACAGGUUCGAUUCCAUUGAGAGUCUAAAAAAAGGUUUGAUUCAAUCGAGCGGCCACACACACAACGCACACGCACGCACGCGACCAACUCUACCCAGACACGACGCAACCCUAAGCAGCUAGCGCGAUGGCGGCUGCUGGCCAUGUCGCGAGGACCAGGCGGGCGACUGAUGACGGGGGCAGCUGACGGCGGCGGCAGGCUGGGGGCUUAUAGGGCUGCCGCUGCAAGCUCCAGCGAAGGAAGCAAGCGGCGGCUUCAGUGGCGGUAGAAGCAAGUUCCAGCAGACGACGGCAGUUGGGAAUUUUCCUGGCCAUUCCCCGGUGUACGAACCAGAGGACUAAUUGCAGCCACUUUGUUGGGUAUUGGCAAUUUUUCUUCUGUCAAUUCUGCAGGAUCUGAACCAACUACAGUAAUUCUGAAUAUAACGGAUAAAAAUUUAUGUAGCGACCUUGUACAAUAUGGUGGAAAGUUUGUCUAUAUUUUUUCAUUCAUGCUAGUGUACUGUGGACGCACAAGUUUUUGUUUUUAGAUGAUUAUGCAUAAAAGCUAAUAAGAUGCCCAACCGGCGCAGUUCUAGACGCCAUUGAAAUCUUCAUUAUUGGUUUGUUUUAGGUUAUUUUCCUAUUGAAAUAUGCCUACAUUUUCAUUGUAUUGGGGUUAACGUUUGUAAUGUGUAUUGACUCUUUUGAUUUGCAUCAAAAAAAUUCUUUCCUUAAGACUUCGCCACACCUUAAAAAAAAUUCGUCCUCCGCCUCUGAUCGAGGGAGUGCGUGCAGGGGAAGAACAAGGCCACCAAAAUGGUCGACAGAGAAAGAAGCAGUGUAGGGAAAGAUGGUUCCAUGUUAGGGACUCAGAAGUCAGUACUGGCAGAUUGAAAGUUGUUUUCAUGCCACGUGUUUCUCGAUUAUAUUAGUCAAAGAAGUCAGUACUGGCAGAUUGAAAAGUUUGUCGCACAUGCCUUAUUGGAUUAUAUCGAGGAAGGUGCCGUGAUGGUACACAAGUUGAUCGCUCCAUUGAGGAAGGUGCCAUGAUGGUACACAAGUUGAUCGCUCCAUCUAGCCACUUGGACUAUAGUAGUAAGUUUCUGGCUUCAACUGCUCAAUGGAUGACGCUCAUGCCACCCUCCAUGGGAUGAUGCACAUUAUAUAUGCACACAUUUGGUGCCUAGCAUUCUUGACUUGUGCCUCAUCAAGCCAACUGCUCCUGAUUCCUGAAGCGGUAAAAAGAGCGAGCUUUGAGA